rnacentral:rRNA from 1 species
CCUACGGGAGGCAGCAGUGGGGAAUUUUCCGCAAUGGGCGCAAGCCUGACGGAGCAAGACCGCGUGAGGGAGGAAGGCUCUUGGGUUGUAAACCUCUUUUAUCAGGGAAGAAGAUCUGACGGUACCUGAUGAAUCAGCAUCGGCUAACUCCGUGCCAGCAGCCGCGGUAAUACGGAGGAUGCAAGCGUUAUCCGGAUUUAUUGGGCGUAAAGCGUCCGCAGGUGGUUAUUCAAGUCUGCUGUUAAAGCGCGAGGCUUAACUUCGUACAGGCAGUGGAAACUGGAUGACUGGAGUAUGGUAGGGGUAGCGGGAAUUCCCAGUGUAGCGGUGAAAUGCGUAGAUAUUGGGAAGAACACCAGCGGCGAAAGCGCGCUACUGGGCCAUUACUGACACUCAUGGACGAAAGCUAGGGGAGCGAAAGGGAUUAGAUACCCCUGUAGUCCUAGCUGUAAACGAUGGGUACUAGGUGUUGACCGUAUCGACCCGGUCAGUGCCGUAGCUAACGCGUUAAGUACCCCGCCUGGGGAGUAUGCCACGCAGUAGUAGAACUACAAAGAAGUUAGACGGCGUGAGACGNGCCGACGGACGACGACGAGGGAGGAGG